UGCUAAAAUAAGGAUCCAUUCCAGUGGUUUGCAGAGACCUGUUGCCUGUAGGAUGGACUCACAUUGGAGAAGUUCAUGGAGAACUGACUUCCAUGGGAGGGACCCCACAGUGCAGCAGGGGAAGGAUGACUCUUCCUGAGCAGCGCCAGAAACAAUGUGUGAUGAACUGACCACAACCCCCCGUGCCUUGCCUCCUUUAUCUCUGAAGGAGGGGAGGUAGAGGGGAGAAGGAGGAAGAGGCAGGGGAAAGCUGAGAAGUGGUGCUUUGGUGUGCGUCUGGCAUACAGCCAGGGUUGACCCACUCAAAUGUCAAUGACAUUUUGGAAACUCAAGGUCACAGGCACCCUGUACUACCAAACCUGCAUGUGUGACUUAUGGAAAUGGAUUUGGUUGGUGUGCAAGCUAUCAAAAUAAGUCACUUGAUGAUCAUGAGUGAAGUUAUGGAAGAAUGAAGAUAUACAAGAAUGAAGAUGUCAAGUAAUGCAUAAUUAAAAUGGCUGAUUCAUGAUCAAGGCACUAUUUCCACUCCCUGCACUGAGGAAUCCUUCCUUAAGUAUUAUUGAUUCUUGGUUCAGUCUUUGUCUUCUUUGUAUAGCUUGUUGCUCUAAUAUCUAGAAAGGCGGGUGCUGCUAUUGCAUACCAAGGAAACAGCUUGCAUCUGGUCAAAGGGUGUCACAUCAACUGAAUCACCUUUGUUGCUAUUACAGUGCCCACAGACAAUUCUACUGUCUCAAAUAACUCUGUCUAAAGAGUCUGGGUCUGCACGUCAACCUACACAGAGUAACGAUAUAAAACUAAUUGCCUACCCGGUUAUGAUGAGAAAAAAAAUGAGGAAGAAGAGUGAAAGCAUACACAGACACAGGCAUAAAUCAAACUUUAUCUCUUUGCAUACUGAUGCAUAUAUUUUCUUUGAGGGCUGAAGUCACAAAUACUCUGUUGUAAUUAAUAUUGUGCUCCAGUGAUUUGGGAAUAAUUUCUGCUGUAAGCCCAGGGGACCUGUUGAUGACCCUUCUGCAAAGAAAUUGAUAUUCCAGAGGAAAUUGGCUACUGGAAGCAUGAAGUUAUCUAAAGAAAAAGCUACAUCAGCUGAGUGAAAACUUGAGACACCAAAGCAGGGCUGUGGCUGUUACCAUCAAACACACAAGCUACAGAACUCAACAGACAAGGUGGUAGGAAACUGGGACCUCUUUGUGGCAGGCUGCCAGGCCACUGGCUGUACUACAGUGACUUGGAAAUAUGCUGUUAUCAUGGAAGGUUGCUGUGGUCAUCUAAAGAAAAUAUUUAACAACUCCUUGUUUUAUAUUUACUGCUUUUCAUGUUUAUGCAUAGAAAAAAGUGAGCUACAGAAGAAUCUGGCAAUUCGAAUAAGAGGUGUCUGUUGACCUAAGAGAUAAAUUUUUUUCAGGGAGAUAUGUCUUCUAGUUUCAAUUAACUUUAAUUUUAGUAUCAGUUCUCUAAAGUGCUUUAUUUUCUAAUGUCAAAAGGGGUUAAUGAACAGUAAUUUCACUAAAUUUAAUUGGUCUUUUGUACAGUUUUUUGAACACUUUGAUAAAAAAGAAUUCAGCAUAAGUCCCUGCACUUAGCAGGUAAAAGGGCAGAGAUCCUGGUCAUCAUUAUUUUAAUUCUUGUAAAUUAAUUUGUCUUGAAGAAUUUCUGUCUGUGGAACAUUCAGGCUGAAGCUAAUUGUGAGAGUUCCUAAUUGAUCUUCCUGUGAAGACUGAAAAUGACUUUUCUCUCUCUGUUUCCAAAGAAGAGUGUGUCUACCCACUUGCCAUUUUCUGUGUUCACAUCUAAGAUGUUUUUCUACAGCUUUUUCACUUUGUGAAUAUUCUACCUCCUCUACAUGUGCUCAGUGGUAGGAUGGAUCACGCUGGUUUGGCAGAGAACAGCUCUAGUUCCCUUUUCCUCCAUGCUUCUUACCCAUUGUGGACCCCUUGGCAUGUCCUGUUUUUUAGCACACCUUUGUUUCUCCCACAAUUUCAUCAGCACAGUUUUUAAUAUUUAGUUCUGCUUCAUGGAUAAACAUAUUACAUAGAUUUGGAAUUGGUGUUAAUCCAUACUUAGUGUGGUUAGCAGUGUAGAUGUGCACAUGUAGCCACAAUUGAUCAAUAUUUCUGAUUAAGGCUGUUUUUAAGAAAUUAACAUGUGCUUUCAAUGUAUUCUACACAUCUGCUUUGGAUUUGGUGGUGCAUGAUACUUCUUAGCCAGGCAGCUGUCAGAAUUUACAGAACUCAGAAUAUGGGCCUUUUUUUUGCUUUUCUUGUAGUCUUUUGCAGAUAGUCAGAUCUUCAGAAACUUAGCUGCUCUUGUGCCAAUAUUCCUUAAAUUUUUGGACUCUAAAAUGACCAGUAAAGAAUGUGUUGUUACUAUAGUAGUGAUCAUCUUUGUGAUUUUACUUAUAAGUAAAACCAAUUACAUUUUUGAUCCAAGAAGCUUUUUCCUCAGGAAACAGCACUGAAAGUAAAGGUCCAUAAAACCUCAUUGCCAUUAUUUUUGCCCAUGUAAAUAAAAUAUAAUUCUGGAUAAACUCUUUUUUUAAAGCACUGAGAACCCUGUUAUGCAUGUGUGGUAUAAGCCAAACUAUAGUAACAUUAUUGCAAUUGAGACAGUGAUAAAGAAUCUGAAAGUGACAAAGAUGAAAAGCCUAUCAAGCUGCAAAACUUUUCUGUCAUUCUCUGGAAACAUCUGUAUAUAUUUCUGCCUGUGUGACUAUAUUU